rnacentral:rRNA from 1 species
AGAGUUUGAUUCUGGCUCAGGAUGAACGCUAGCUACAGGCUUAACACAUGCAAGUCGAGGGGCAGCAUGAAGUUUGCUUGCAAACUUGAUGGCGACCGGCGCACGGGUGAGUAACGCGUAUCCAACCUUCCCUAUAGUAGAGGAUAGCCCGGCGAAAGUCGGAUUAAUACUCUAUGUUUUCCAAUGCAGACAUCUAAAAUGGAACAAAGGUUUACCGCUAUAGGAUGGGGAUGCGUCUGAUUAGGUAGUCGGCGGGGUAACGGCCCACCGAGCCCUCGAUCAGUAGGGGUUCUGAGAGGAAGGUCCCCCACAUUGGAACUGAGACACGGUCCAAACUCCUACGGGAGGCAGCAGUGAGGAAUAUUGGUCAAUGGGCGAGAGCCUGAACCAGCCAAGUAGCCGUGCAGGAUGACGGCCCUAUGGGUUGUAAACUGCUUUUAUGCGGGGAUAAAGUGGGGAACGUGUUCCCUUUUGUAGGUACCGCAUGAAUAAGGACCGGCUAAUUCCGUGCCAGCAGCCGC